rnacentral:rRNA from 1 species
CACGUAGGCACCAAGCGUUGUCCGGAUUUAUUGGGCGUAAAGAGCUCGUAGGCGGUUGAGUAAGUCGGGUGUGAAAACUCUGGGCUUAACCCAGAGCCGCCACCCGAUACUGCUCUGACUUGAGUUCGGUAGGGGAGCAGGGAAUUCCUAGUGUAGCGGUGAAGUGCGCAGAUAUUAGGAGGAACACCGGUGGCGAAGGCGCUGCUCUGGGCCGAUACUGACGCUGAGGAGCGAAAGCGUGGGGAGCAAACAGG